rnacentral:rRNA from 1 species
GUCUAUUUGAAGAUAUAAAAAGUCUAGCCUGCCCACUGAUAAAUAUUUUAAGGGCCGCGGUAUUUCUAACUGUGCAAAGGUAGCAUAAUCGUUAGUUUCUUAAUUGGAAUCUUGUAUGAAUGGUUUGACAAGAAAAAAUCUGUCUUUAUAAUUAUUUAUUGAAUUUAACUUUUAAGUGAAAAGGCUUAAAUAAAUUAAAAAGACGAUAAGACCCUAUAAAGCUUAAUAUUAAGUUUUUUAUUUAAUAAAAUUUUAAAAGUAUAAAUAUUUAAUAGUUAGCUUUUAUUUUAUUGGGGCGAUAAUGGUAUAAAGAUUAUUAACUGUUAAUUUUUAAAUACAAAAAUAAAUGGAUAAUUGAAAUAUUUAUUAAAUGAUCCUUUUUAAAGAUUAAAAGUUUAAGUUACUUUAGGGAUAACAGCGUUAUUUUUUUUGAGAGUUCUUAUCGAAAAAAAAGUUUGCGACCUCGAUGUUGAAUUAAAAUAUCUAUAUAAUUGUAGCAGUUAUAUAAGAAGGUCUGUUCGACCUUUAAAUUUUUACAUGAUUUGAGUUCAAACCGGCGUGAGCCAGGUUGGUUUCUAUCUUUUAAUAUAAUAAAAAUUAUUUUAGUACGAAAGGAUUAAAUAA